AAGAAAGGUUCAAAGGCUAAGGCCGCCACGUCCUGUGGCAACGCCUUUGUGACCAACAUCGUGUUGG
rnacentral:sRNA from 1 species